UGCAAGUCGAACGAACUUCCGUUAAUUGAUCAUGACGUGCUUGCACUGAAUGAGAUUUUAACACGAAGUGAGUGGCGGACGGGUGAGUAACACGUGGGUAACCUGCCCAGAAGCAGGGGAUAACACCUGGAAACAGAUGCUAAUACCGUAUAACAGAGAAAACCGCCUGGUUUUCUUUUAAAAGAUGGCUCUGCUAUCACUUCUGGAUGGACCCGCGGCGCAUUAGCUAGUUGGUGAGGUAACGGCUCACCAAGGCGAUGAUGCGUAGCCGACCUGAGAGGGUAAUCGGCCACAUUGGGACUGAGACACGGCCCAGACUCCUACGGGAGGCAGCAGUAGGGAAUCUUCCACAAUGGACGCAAGUCUGAUGGAGCAACGCCGCGUGAGUGAAGAAGGGUUUCGGCUCGUAAAGCUCUGUUGUUAAAGAAGAACGUGGGUGAGAGUAACUGUUCACCCAGUGACGGUAUUUAACCAGAAAGCCACGGCUAACUACGUGCCAGCAGCCGCGGUAAUACGUAGGUGGCAAGCGUUAUCCGGAUUUAUUGGGCGUAAAGCGAGCGCAGGCGGUCUUUUAAGUCUAAUGUGAAAGCCUUCGGCUCAACCGAAGAAGUGCAUUGGAAACUGGGAGACUUGAGUGCAGAAGAGGACAGUGGAACUCCAUGUGUAGCGGUGAAAUGCGUAGAUAUAUGGAAGAACACCAGUGGCGAAGGCGGCUGUCUGGUCUGUAACUGACGCUGAGGCUCGAAAGCAUGGGUAGCGAACAGGAUUAGAUACCCUGGUAGUCCAUGCCGUAAACGAUGAUUACUAAGUGUUGGAGGGUUUCCGCCCUUCAGUGCUGCAGCUAACGCAUUAAGUAAUCCGCCUGGGGAGUACGACCGCAAGGUUGAAACUCAAAAGAAUUGACGGGGGCCCGCACAAGCGGUGGAGCAUGUGGUUUAAUUCGAAGCUACGCGAAGAACCUUACCAGGUCUUGACAUCUUCUGCCAACCUAAGAGAUUAGGCGUUCCCUUCGGGGACAGAAUGACAGGUGGUGCAUGGUUGUCGUCAGCUCGUGUCGUGAGAUGUUGGGUUAAGUCCCGCAACGAGCGCAACCCUUAUUACUAGUUGCCAGCAUUCAGUUGGGCACUCUAGUGAGACUGCCGGUGACAAACCGGAGGAAGGUGGGGACGACGUCAAAUCAUCAUGCCCCUUAUGACCUGGGCUACACACGUGCUACAAUGGAUGGUACAACGAGUUGCGAAACCGCGAGGUUUAGCUAAUCUCUUAAAACCAUUCUCAGUUCGGACUGUAGGCUGCAACUCGCCUACACGAAGUCGGAAUCGCUAGUAAUCGCGGAUCAGCAUGCCGCGGUGAAUACGUUCCCGGGCCUUGUACACACCGCCCGUCACACCAUGAGAGUUUGUAACACCCAAAGCCGGUGGGGUAACC
rnacentral:rRNA from 1 species